rnacentral:rRNA from 1 species
CUUUAGAUGUUCUGGGCCGCACGCGCGCUACACUGACGGGGUCAGCGAGUUCCUUGGCCGAAAGGCCCGGGUAAUCUUGUUAGCCCCCGUCGUGCUGGGGAUAGAGCAUUGCAAUUAUUGCUCUUCAACGAGGAAUCCCUAGUAAGCGCAAGUCAUCAGCUUGCGUUGAUUACGUCCCUGCCCUUUGUACACACCGCCCGUCGCUACUACCGAUUGAAUGGCUCAGUGAGGCGUCCGGACUGGCCCAGGGAGGUGGGCAACUACCACCCAGGGCCGGAAAGUUCUCCAAACUCGGUCAUUUAGAGGAAGUAAAAGUCGUAACAAGGUCUCCGUUGGUGAACCAGCGGAGGGAUCAUUACCAGAGUGCCUUUUGGCUCUCCAACCCACUGUGAACAUACCUACGUUUCCCUCGGCGGGCUCAGCGCGCGGCGGUACUCCCGCCACGCGUCCGCCGAGGGCACCCAAACUCGAAUUUACUACGUGUAUCUCUGAGGGGCGAAAGCCCGUAAAACAAAAUGAAUCAAAACUUUCAACAACGGAUCUCUUGGCUCUGGCAUCGAUGAAGAACGCAGCGAAAUGCGAUAAGUAAUGUGAAUUGCAGAAUUCAGUGAAUCAUCGAAUCUUUGAACGCACAUUGCGCCCGCCGGCACUCCGGCGGGCAUGCCUGUCCGAACGUCAUUUCACCCUCGGGCCCUCCCUUCCGGGGAUCGGGCCCGGCGUUGGGGAACGGAGGCCGCUUCGGCGGCACCCGCCCCCUAAAUUCAGUGGGGGUCGCGCCCAACCUCCCCUGGGUAAUAACCCACCCUCCCACCGGAAAAAGGGGGCACGG